AAACGAACGAAGAAAUAGUAGUCAGGGUUGUCGAUCAGAAAGUGGGCGGUGAAUGCGAGCCCAACAAUCAAGCCUGGUGAACUCGUCUUUGCGUUGUCACCGUGAACGAUUAGUAGCGGUGACCGGACUGGCCGUUAUCCAGAUUGAGGGCUGCAUCUGCAGAACUUAGGUGGUACCGCGGCGAAAGUCGUCCUAAUU
rnacentral:ncRNA from 1 species